rnacentral:rRNA from 1 species
GCUCCAAUAGCGAAUAUUAAAGUUGUUGCAGUUAAAAAGCUCGUAGUUGAAUGUCUGGAGUAUGAGUUGGGACCGCUUGAUUGCGUGUCCUUGACUUAUAAUCCAUCCUGACAGGGAGUACAUUGGCCUUAAUUGGUUUGGUGUAUCAACCUGUCUCUAUUACUGUGAGAAAAUCAAAGUGUUUAAGCAGGCAAUCGCUU